rnacentral:rRNA from 1 species
CCAGCAGCCGCGGUAAUACGGAGGAGGCAAGCGUUAUCCGGAAUUAUUGGGCGUAAAGCGUCCGUAGGUGGCUAGCUUCAAGUCUGCGGUCAAAGACUGGGGCUUAACCCUGGAAAGGCCGUGGAAACUGACGAGCUAGAGUGCAGUAGGGGUAGAGCUGGAAUUCCCGGUGUAGCGGUGAAAUGCGUAGAGCUCGGGAAGAACAUCGGUGGCGAAAGC